rnacentral:rRNA from 1 species
UGAUCCUGGCUCAGAACGAACGCUGGCGGCAGGCUUAACACAUGCAAGUCGAGCGCCCCGCAAGGGGAGCGGCAGACGGGUGAGUAACGCGUGGGAAUCUACCCAGCUCUACGGAACAACUCCGGGAAACUGGAGCUAAUACCGUAUACGUCCUUCGGGAGAAAGAUUUAUCGGAGUUGGAUGAGCCCGCGUUGGAUUAGCUAGUUGGUGGGGUAAUGGCCUACCAAGGCGACGAUCCAUAGCUGGUCUGAGAGGAUGAUCAGCCACACUGGGACUGAGACACGGCCCAGACUCCUACGGGAGGCAGCAGUGGGGAAUAUUGGACAAUGGGCGAAAGCCUGAUCCAGCCAUGCCGCGUGAGUGAUGAAGGCCCUAGGGUUGUAAAGCUCUUUCACCGGUGAAGAUAAUGACGGUAACCGGAGAAGAAGCCCCGGCUAACUUCGUGCCAACAGCCGCGGUAAUACGAAGGGGGCUAGCGUUGUUCUGAAUUACUGGGCGUAAAGCGCACGUAGGCGGACUAUUAAGUCAGGGGUGAAAUCCCGGGGCUCAACCCCGGAACUGCCUUUGAUACUGGUAGUCUCGAGUCCCGAACAGGUGAGUGAAAUUCCGAGUGUAGAGGUGAGAUUCGUAGAUAUUCUGAGGAACACCAGUCGCUAAGGCGGCUCACUGGUACGGUACUGACGCUUAAGUGCGUAAGCCUGUAGAGCCAAGGGGAUAAGAUACCGUGGUA